rnacentral:rRNA from 1 species
UACGGAGGGGGCUAGCGUUGUUCGGAAUUACUGGGCGUAAAGCGCACGUAGGCGGUCCAUCGGGUUAGGCGUGAAAGUCCUGGGCUCAACCUGGGGACGGCGUUUAAUACGGAUGGUCUGGAGUCCGGGAGAGGUGAGUGGAAUUCCCAGUGUAGAGGUGAAAUUCGUAGAUAUUGGGAAGAACACCGGUGGCGAAGGCGGCUCACUGGCCCGGAACUGACGCUGAGGUGCGAAAGCGUGGGGAGCAAAC